rnacentral:rRNA from 1 species
AGAGUUUGAUCCUGGCUCAGAGCGAACGCUGGCGGCAGGCUUAACACAUGCAAGUCGAGCGCCGUAGCAAUACGGAGCGGCAGACGGGUGAGUAACACGUGGGAACGUGCCUUCUGGUUCGGAAUAACCCAGGGAAACUUGGGCUAAUACCGGAUAAGCCCUUCGGGGGAAAGAUUUAUCGCCGGAAGAUCGGCCCGCGUAAGAUUAGCUUGUUGGUGAGGUAACGGCUCACCAAGGCUACGAUCUUUAGCUGGUCUGAGAGGAUGAUCAGCCACACUGGGACUGAGACACGGCCCAGACUCCUACGGGAGGCAGCAGUGGGGAAUAUUGGACAAUGGGCGCAAGCCUGAUCCAGCCAUGCCGCGUGAGUGAUGAAGGCCUUAGGGUUGUAAAGCUCUUUUAGCGGAGACGAUAAUGACGGUAUCCGCAGAAAAAGCCCCGGCCAACUUC